GAUGAACGCUGGCGGCGUGCCUAAUACAUGCAAGUCGAGCGAACAGACGAGGAGCUUGCUCCUCUGACGUUAGCGGCGGACGGGUGAGUAACACGUGGAUAACCUACCUAUAAGACUGGGAUAACUUCGGGAAACCGGAGCUAAUACCGGAUAAUAUAUUGAACCGCAUGGUUCAAUAGUGAAAGACGGUUUUGCUGUCACUUAUAGAUGGAUCCGCGCCGCAUUAGCUAGUUGGUAAGGUAACGGCUUACCAAGGCAACGAUGCGUAGCCGACCUGAGAGGGUGAUAGGCCACACUGGAACUGAGACACGGUCAAGACUCCUACGGGAGGCAGCAGUAGGGAAUCGUCCGCAAUGGGCGAAAGCCUGACGGAGCAACGCCGCGUGAGUGAUGAAGGUCUUCGGAUCGUAAAACUCUGUUAUUAGGGAAGAACAAAUGUGUAAGUAACUAUGCACGUCUUGACGGUACCUAAUCAGAAAGCCACGGCUAACUACGUG
rnacentral:rRNA from 1 species